rnacentral:rRNA from 1 species
CCGAGUUGUAUUCUAGAGAAGUGUUUUCCGGGCCGGACCGUGUGRCCAGUGUUCCUUGGAACAGGAGAUCAUAGAGGGUGAGAAUUCCGUGUACUGAACAGACYACCGGUGCUCUGUGAUGCGCUCUCAAAGAGUCGAGUUGUUUGGGAAUGCAGCUCAGAAUGGGUGGUAAACUCCRUCUAAAGCUAAAUAUUGGCGAGAGACCGAUAGCGAACAAGUACCGUGAGGGAARGAUGAAAAGCACUUUGGAAAGAGAGUUAAACAGUACGUGAAAUUGCUGAAAGGGAAACGCUUGAAGUCAGUCGCGUCCGCUAGAACUCAGCCUGGCUUUUGCUUGGUGCAUUUCCUAGUGGACGGGCCAGCAUCACUUUUGGGCUGCGGGAUAAAGGUCGCAGGRAUGUGGCACCUUCGGGUGUGUUAUAGCCUGUGAUUGUAUACCGUGGCUGGGAGUGAGGACCGCAGCACGCCUUCAUGGCGGGGGUUCGCCCAUCCUUCGUGCUAGGAUGC